ACAUAACUGAUGCCUCCGCGUAUCGACUUUGUGCGCAUUUUAGCUAUUAUGUGUUCUUUUAAUUAAAAUGAUUCUUUUUAAGAUUCAUCUAUUAAAAAUUUGCUUCGGCAUAAUUUUUUUUGAUGAUCUUGUUACUUUGAGUAAAUUAGAGUGUUCAAAGCAAACAGAUAUAGCAUUUGUGCGUUUGAAUACUACAGCAUGGAAUAACAAAAUUGAACAAGUCAGAAUUUUUUUGUUCUUUUUUCUUAUUUUGGCUUAGUUACGAUUAAUAGGAGUAGCUUGGGGGCAUUUGUAUUCAGAUGUCAGAGGUGAAAUUCUUAGAUUUUCUGGAGACAAACAACUGCGAAAGCAUUUGCCUAAAAUACUUCCAUUAAUCAAGAACGAAAGUUAAGGGAGUGAAGACGAUCAGAUACCGUCGUAAUCUUAACCAUAAACUAUGCCGACUAGGCUUUGGAUGAAAGAUUUUAAAAUAAGAGUUUUUCUUUUCUCUCCGGAGAUUAGAACUCUUAGAUUGCUUCCUUCAGUGCCUUAUGAGAAAUCAAAGUCUUUGGGUUCUGGGGCGAGUAUUCGCGCAAGCGAGAAAGUUAAAAGAAUUGACGGAAGGGCACCACCAGGCGUGGAGCUUGCGGCUUAAUUUGACUCAACACGGGAAAACUCACUAGUUUAAGACAAGAGUAGGAUUGACAGAUUAAUAGCUCUUUCUUGAUUUCUUGGAUGGUGAUGCAUGGCCGUUUUUAGUUCGUGAAUAUGAUUUGUCUGGUUAAUUCCGAUAACGAACGAGAUCUUAACCUGCUAAUUAGCGGCAAAUACGAUAUAUUCUUAUGUAGAAUUGAAUAUAGUGGAUUUGUUAGAUUUUGAAGAAAAUAUUGGGAAUUACGUUAAAUGUGAUUCCUUUCCCUUUUCUACUUAAUUUACAUUUCCAUCUAUUUCUUUUUUGCGUAUGAAUGUAUUUGCUUGAUUGUAAAGCUUCUUAGAGGAACGAUGUGUG
rnacentral:rRNA from 1 species